rnacentral:rRNA from 1 species
UACGGGGGGGGCAAGCGUUGUUCGGAAUUACUGGGCGUAAAGGGCUCGUAGGCGGCCAACUAAGUCAGACGUGAAAUCCCUCGGCUUAACCGGGGAACUGCGUCUGAUACUGGUUGGCUUGAGUGUGGGAGAGGGAUGCGGAAUUCCGGGUGUAGCGGUGAAAUGCGUAGAUAUCAGGAGGAACACCGGUGGCGAAGGCGGGACUCUGGGCCGAUACUGACGCUGAGGAGCGAAAGCGUGGGGAGCAAACAGG